rnacentral:rRNA from 1 species
GAUGAACGCUGGCGGCGUGCCUAAUACAUGCAAGUCGAGCGAACGGACGAGAAGCUUGCUUCUCUGAUGUUAGCGGCGGACGGGUGAGUAACACGUGGAUAACCUACCUAUAAGACUGGGAUCACUUCGGGAAACCGGAGCUAAUACCGGAUAAUAUUUUGAACCGCAUGGUUCAAUAGUGAAAGACGGUCUUGCUGUCACUUAUAGAUGGAUCCGCGCUGCAUUAGCUAGUUGGUAAGGUAACGGCUUACCAAGGCAACGAUGCAUAGCCGACCUGAGAGGGUGAUCGGCCACACUGGAACUGAGACACGGUCCAGACUCCUACGGGAGGCAGCAGUAGGGAAUCUUCCGCAAUGGGCGAAAGCCUGACGGAGCAACGCCGCGUGAGUGAUGAAGGUCUUCGGAUCGUAAAACUCUGUUAUUAGGGAAGAACAUAUGUGUAAGUAACUGUGCACAUCUUGACGGUACCUAAUCAGAAAGCCACGGCUAACUACGUG